rnacentral:rRNA from 1 species
AGUGAACGCUGGCGGUAGGCCUAACACAUGCAAGUCGAACGGCAGCACAGUAAGAGCUUGCUCUUACGGGUGGCGAGUGGCGGACGGGUGAGGAAUACAUCGGAAUCUACUUUUUCGUGGGGGAUAACGUAGGGAAACUUACGCUAAUACCGCAUACGACCUACGGGUGAAAGCAGGGGAUCUUCGGACCUUGCGCGAUUGAAUGAGCCGAUGUCGGAUUAGCUAGUUGGCGGGGUAAAGGCCCACCAAGGCGACGAUCCGUAGCUGGGCUGAGAGGAUGAAGCGGCAAACUUGAAAUGAGGAACGGUCCAGACUCCUAAGGGGAGCAAGAGGGGGGAAUAUUGGACAAUGGGGGGAAAGCCUAUCCCAGCCAACCGGGGGGGGUGAAGAGGGCCUCCGGGUUGUAAAGCCUUUUUGUGGGGAAGAAAAGGCGGCAGGUUAAUCCCCCGCGGUCCGGCCGUAACCAAGGAAUAAGCACCGGCUAACUUCGUG